CCUACGGGGGGCAGCAGUGAGGAAUAUUGGUCAAUGGGCGCGAGCCUGAACCAGCCAAGUAGCGUGAAGGAUGACUGCCCUACGGGUUGUAAACUUCUUUUAUAAAGGAAUAAAGUGAGGCACGUGUGCCUUUUUGUAUGUACUUUAUGAAUAAGGAUCGGCUAACUCCGUGCCAGCAGCCGCGGUAAUACGGAGGAUCCGAGCGUUAUCCGGAUUUUUUGGGUUUAAAGGGAGCGUAGAUGGGUUGUUAAGUCAGUUGUUAAAGUUUGCGGCUCAACCGUAAAAUUGCAAUUGAUACUGGCGGCCUUGAGUACAGUAGAGGUAGGCGGAAUUCGUGGUGUAGCGGUGAAAUGCUUAGAUAUCACGAAGAACUCCGAUUGCGAAGGCAGCUUACUAAACUGCCACUGACAUUGAUGCUCGAAAGUGUGGGUAUCAAACAGGAUUAGAUACCCUUGUAGUC
rnacentral:rRNA from 1 species